UACGUAGGUGGCAAGCGUUGUCCGGAUUUACUGGGCGUAAAGAGCGCGCAGGCGGUCGUUCAAGUCGCGUGUGAAAGCCCCCGGCUCAACUGGGGAGGGUCACGCGAUACUGAUCGACUCGAAGGCAGGAGAGGGUAGUGGAAUUCCCGGUGUAGUGGUGAAAUGCGUAGAUAUCGAGAGGAACACCGGUGGCGAAGGCGGCUAUCUGGACGAUGACUGACGCUGAGGCGCGAAAGCGUGGGGAGCAAACAGG
rnacentral:rRNA from 1 species